rnacentral:rRNA from 1 species
UACGUAGGUGGCAAGCGUUGUCCGGAUUUACUGGGCGUAAAGAGCGCGCAGGCGGUCGUUCAAGUCGCGUGUGAAAGCCCCCGGCUCAACUGGGGAGGGUCACGCGAUACUGAUCGACUCGAAGGCAGGAGAGGGUAGUGGAAUUCCCGGUGUAGUGGUGAAAUGCGCAGAUAUCAGGAGGAACACCGGUGGCGAAGGCGGUGGUCUGGGCCGGCACUGACGCUGAGGAGCGAAAGCGUGGGUAGCAAACAGG